UACGUAGGGGGCAAGCGUUAUCCGGAUUUACUGGGUGUAAAGGGAGCGUAGACGGCAGUGCAAGUCUGGAGUGAAAGGCGGGGGCUCAACCCCCGGACUGCUCUGGAAACUGUACGGCUGGAGUGCAGGAGAGGUAAGUGGAAUUCCCAGUGUAGCGGUGAAAUGCGUAGAUAUUAGGAGGAACACCAGUGGCGAAGGCGGCUUACUGGACUGUAACUGACGUUGAGGCUCGAAAGCGUGGGGAGCAAACAGG
rnacentral:rRNA from 1 species